rnacentral:rRNA from 1 species
UAAAACGUAGGGGUCGAGCGUUAUCCGGAAUUACUGGGCGUAAAGCGCGUGUAGGCGGCUGUUUAAGUUGGACGUGAAAGCUCCUGGCUCAACUAGGAGAGGUCGUUCAAAACUGGGCAGCUCGAGGAUGGUAGAGGCAAGUGGAAUUCCCGGUGUAGUGGUGAAAUGCGUAGAUAUCGGGAGGAACACCAGUGGCGAAGGCGGCUUGCUGGGCCAACCCUGACGCUGAGACGCGAAAGCUAGGGGAGAGAACGGGAUUAGAAACCCCGGUAUUCCUAGCCGUAAACGAUGUCAACUAGGUGUAGGUGGUUAUUGACCCCAUCUGUGCUGUAGCAAACGCGUUAAGUUGACCGCCUGGGGACUACGGCCGCAAGGCUAAAACUUAAAUGAAUUGACGG